AGCGGCGGACGGGUGAGUAACGCGUGGGUAACCUGCCCUGUACACACGGAUAACAUACCGAAAGGUAUGCUAAUACGAGAUAAUAUGCUUUUAUCGCAUGGUAGAAGUAUCAAAGCUUUUGCGGUACAGGAUGGACCCGCGUCUGAUUAGCUAGUUGGUAAGGUAACGGCUUACCAAGGCGACGAUCAGUAGCCGACCUGAGAGGGUGAUCGGCCACAUUGGAACUGAGACACGGUCCAAACUCCUACGGGAGGCAGCAGUGGGGAAUAUUGCACAAUGGGCGAUAGCCUGAUGCAGCAACGCCGCGUGAGCGAUGAAGGCCUUCGGGUCGUAAAGCUCUGUCCUCAAGGAAGAUAAUGACGGUACUUGAGGAGGAAGCCCCGGCUAACUACGUGCCAGCAGCCGCGGUAAUACGUAGGGGGCUAGCGUUAUCCGGAAUUACUGGGCGUAAAGGGUGCGUAGGUGGUUUCUUAGGUCAGAGGUGAAAGGCUACGGCACAACCGUAGUAAGCCUUUGAAACUGGGAAACUUGAGUGCAGGAGAGGAGAGUGGAAUUCCUAGUGUAGCGGUGAAAUGCGUAGAUAUUAGGAGGAACACCAGUUGCGAAGGCGGCUCUCUGGACUGUAACUGACACUGAGGCACGAAAGCGUGGGGAGCAAACAGGAUUAGAUACCCUGGUAGUCCACGCCGUAAACGAUGAGUACUAGCUGU
rnacentral:rRNA from 1 species